rnacentral:tRNA from 1 species
GUAAGAUAAGCUAAUCAAGCUCCUGGGCCCAUACCCCAAAAAUGUAGGUUAACCCCUACUCUCACUA